rnacentral:rRNA from 1 species
CGCCGGCUAACUCUGUGCCAGCAGCCGCGGUAAUACAGAGGGUGCAAGCGUUAAUCGGAUUUACUGGGCGUAAAGCGCGCGUAGGCGGCUAAUUAAGUCAAAUGUGAAAUCCCCGAGCUUAACUUGGGAAUUGCAUUCGAUACUGGUUAGCUAGAGUGUGGGAGAGGAUGGUAGAAUUCCAGGUGUAGCGGUGAAAUGCGUAGAGAUCUGGAGGAAUACCGAUGGCGAAGGCAGCCAUCUGGCCUAACACUGACGCUGAGGUGCGAAAGCAUGGGGAGCAAACAGGAUUAGAUACCCUGGUAGUCCAUGCCGUAAACGAUGUCUACUAGCCGUUGGGGCCUUUGAGGCUUUAGUGGCGCAGCUAACGCGAUAAGUAGACCGCCUGGGGAGUACGGUCGCAAGACUAAAACUCAAAUGAAUUGACGGGGGCCCGNACAAGCGGUGGAGCAUGUGGUUUAAUUCCGAUGCAACGCGAAGAACCUUACCUGGGCUUGACAUAGUAGGAACUUUCAGAGA